AGGCCACACUGACCAGAGACCUGCACUCCUUUGGAUGAAGAAGGCUACCCGUGUAUACAUGUGUGAACCAUUUCUUGUGUUGGAAAAACAGGAGACCUGAAGAGCUCUUGAUGCUUUUGGUUUGCCUCAUCCAUUAUGUCAGCAAAGAACAGGAGUGGGCAGGAAACAUGCGCUGUUGAAAACAUGGCCAACCAACUGGAGCACCCACAAGGCUCUUGUGAAGGAAGUCCACAAGCCUUUGUGCUUCAGUUUGGAGACACCCCCGGCUGGUAGUGCUGCUGAAACUGGUGGAGGCAACAAUGAAGCGGCAACAGAAAGAGAAGGCAGGUGGCAAAG